rnacentral:rRNA from 1 species
AUUAGAGUUUGAUCCUGGCUCAGAUUGAACGCUGGCGGCAGGCCUAACACAUGCAAGUCGGACGGUAGCACAGAGGAGCUUGCUCCUCGGGUGACGAGUGGCGGACGGGUGAGUAAUGUCUGGGGAUCUGCCCGAUAGAGGGGGAUAACCACUGGAAACGGUGGCUAAUACCGCAUAACGUCGCAAGACCAAAGAGGGGGACCUUCGGGCCUCUCACUAUCGGAUGAACCCAGAUGGGAUUAGCUAGUAGGCGGGGUAAUGGCCCACCUAGGCGACGAUCCCUAGCUGGUCUGAGAGGAUGACCAGCCACACUGGAACUGAGACACGGUCCAGACUCCUACGGGAGGCAGCAGUGGGGAAUAUUGCACAAUGGGCGCAAGCCUGAUGCAGCCAUGCCGCGUGUAUGAAGAAGGCCUUCGGGUUGUAAAGUACUUUCAGCGGGGAGGAAGGCGAUGUGGUUAAUAACCGCGUCGAUUGACGUUACCCGCAGAAGAAGCACCGGCUAACUCCGUGCCAGCAGCCGCGGUAAUACGGAGGGUGCAAGCGUUAAUCGGAAUUACUGGGCGUAAAGCGCACGCAGGCGGUCUGUUAAGUCAGAUGUGAAAUCCCCGGGCUUAACCUGGGAACUGCAUUUGAAACUGGCAGGCUUGAGUCUCGUAGAGGGGGGUAGAAUUCCAGGUGUAGCGGUGAAAUGCGUAGAGAUCUGGAGGAAUACCGGUGGCGAAGGCGGCCCCCUGGACGAAGACUGACGCUCAGGUGCGAAAGCGUGGGGAGCAAACAGGAUUAGAUAUCCUGGUAGUCCACGCCGUAAACGAUGUCGACUUGGAGGUUGUUCCCUUGAGGAGUGGCUUCCGGAGCUAACGCGUUAAGUCGACCGCCUGGGGAGUACGGCCGCAAGGUUAAAACUCAAAUGAAUUGACGGGGGCCCGCACAAGCGGUGGAGCAUGUGGUUUAAUUCGAUGCAACGCGAAGAACCUUACCUACUCUUGACAUCCAGAGAACUUAGCAGAGAUGCCUUGGUGCCUUCGGGAACUCUGAGACAGGUGCUGCAUGGCUGUCGUCAGCUCGUGUUGUGAAAUGUUGGGUUAAGUCCCGCAACGAGCGCAACCCUUAUCCUUUGUUGCCAGCGAUUCGGUCGGGAACUCAAAGGAGACUGCCGGUGAUAAACCGGAGGAAGGUGGGGAUGACGUCAAGUCAUCAUGGCCCUUACGAGUAGGGCUACACACGUGCUACAAUGGCGCAUACAAAGAGAAGCGACCUCGCGAGAGCAAGCGGACCUCAUAAAGUGCGUCGUAGUCCGGAUCGGAGUCUGCAACUCGACUCCGUGAAGUCGGAAUCGCUAGUAAUCGUGGAUCAGAAUGCCACGGUGAAUACGUUCCCGGGCCUUGUACACACCGCCCGUCACACCAUGGGAGUGGGUUGCAAAAGAAGUAGGUAGCUUAACCUUCGGGAGGGCGCUUACCACUUUGUGAUUCAUGACUGGGGUGAAGUCGUAACAAGGUAGCCGUAAAU